UACGAAGGGGGCUAGCGUUGCUCGGAAUCACUGGGCGUAAAGCGCACGUAGGCGGAUCUUUAAGUCGGAUGUGAAAUCUCCCGGCUUAACUGGGAGCGGUCAUUCGAUACUGGCGGGCUCGAGGCAGGUAGGGGGAAGCGGAAUUCCCGGUGUAGUGGUGGAAUGCGUAGAUAUCGGGAGGAACACCAGUGGCGAAGGCGGCUUCCUGGACCUGUUCUGACACUGAGGAGCGAAAGCGUGGGGAGCGAUCCGG
rnacentral:rRNA from 1 species